GAUCCUGGCUCAGGAUGAACACUAGCUACAGGCUUAACACAUGCAAGUCGAGGGGAAACGAUAUUGGAAGCUUGCUUCCGAUAGGCGUCGACCGGCGCACGGGUGAGUAACGCGUAUCCAACCUGCCCACCACUUGGGGAUAACCUUGCGAAAGUAAGACUAAUACCCAAUGAUAUCUCUAGAAGACAUCUGAAAGAGAUUAAAGGUUCAUCGGUGAUGGAUGGGGAUGCGU
rnacentral:rRNA from 1 species